rnacentral:tRNA from 1 species
GGCGGAAUGGCCGAGCGGUCUAAGGCGCUAGAAUCAGGUUUAAUCCAUAGAUGAGCUCCUAUCUAGUCCGAAAGGGCGUGGGUUCGAAUCCCACUUCCGUCA